rnacentral:rRNA from 1 species
UACGGAGGGGGGCUAGCGUUGUUCGGAAUUACUGGGCGUAAAGCGCACGUAGGCGGCUUUGUAAGUUAGAGGUGAAAGCCCAGGGCUUAACCCUGGAAUUGCCUUUAAGACUGCAUCGCUAGAAUCGUGGAGAGGUGAGUGGAAUUCCGAGUGUAGAGGUGAAAUUCGUAGAUAUUCGGAAGAAACACCAGUGGCGAAGGCGACUCACUGGACACGUAUUGACGCUGAGGUGGCGAAAAGCGUGGGGAGCAAACAGG